CCUACGGGAGGCAGCAGUGGGGGAUAUUGCACAAUGGGGGAAACCCUGAUGCAGCGAUGCCGCGUGAAUGAAGACGGCCUUCGGGUUGUAAAGUUCUGUCGCAGGGGACGAAAAUGACGGUACCCUGCAAGAAAGCUCCGGCUAACUACGUGCCAGCAGCCGCGGUAAUACGUAGGGAGCAAGCGUUGUCCGGAAUUACUGGGUGUAAAGGGAGCGUAGGCGGGAGGAUAAGUUGAAUGUGAAAUCUAUGGGCUCAACCCAUAGUUGCGUUCAAAACUGUUCUUCUUGAGUGAAGUAGAGGCAGGCGGAAUUCCUAGUGUAGCGGUGAAAUGCGUAGAUAUUAGGAGGAACACCAGUGGCGAAGGCGGCCUGCUGGGCUUUUACUGACGCUGAGGCUCGAAAGCGUGGGUAGCAAACAGGAUUAGAUACCCUAGUAG
rnacentral:rRNA from 1 species